UGUGAAUUUUUGCUGCGGUGUUACAACUAACAUCUGUAUCACCGGGUGAAAAUUCGCAAU
rnacentral:pre_miRNA from 1 species